GAAGGAAACUGGAUAAUCGCUGACAGGAACACUGUGAGAGGAAAGUCCGAGCUCCGAAGGGCAGGGUGCUGGGUAACACCCAGGCGGAGUGAUCCGACAGACAGUGCCACAGAAAACAUACAGCCAAUGGCCUGUAAAGGCGCAGGUAAUGGUGAAAAGGCGGGGUAAGAGCCCACCGCGAUUCUGGUAACAGAAUUGGCAGGGUAAACCUCACCCGGAGCAAGAUCGAAUAGGAAAACGUUUGAGAGCGGCCCGCUCAAUGUUUUCGGGUUGAUCGCUUGAGGAUGCGUGGCAACAGGCAUUCCAGAUGAAUGAUUAUCAUUCCGGCGACGGAAGACAGAACUCGGCUUACAGGUUUGCUUCAGCA
rnacentral:RNase_P_RNA from 1 species